rnacentral:rRNA from 1 species
GGGGAAUCUUGGGCAAUGGGCGCAAGCCUGACCCAGCCAUGCCGCGUGUGUGAAGAAGGCCUUCGGGUUGUAAAGCACUUUCAGUGGUGAAGAAAAGUCUGGGGCUAAUACCCCCGGAUCUUGACGUUAUCCACAGAAGAAGCACCGGCUAACUCCGUGCCAGCAGCCGCGGUAAUACGGAGGGUGCGAACGUUAAUCGGAAUUACUGGGCGUAAAGCGCGCGUAGGCGGUUUGAUAAGUGGGAUGUGAAAGCCCCGGGCUUAACCUGGGAACUGCAUUCCAAACUGUCAGGCUAGAGUAUGGUAGAGGGAGGUGGAAUUUCCUGUGUAGCGGUGAAAUGCGUAGAUAUAGGAAGGAACACCAGUGGCGAAGGCGGCCUCCUGGACCAAUACUGACGCUGAGGUGCGAAAGCGUGGGGAGCAAA